rnacentral:rRNA from 1 species
CAGUAGCCGCGGGAAUACAGAGGGUGCGAGCGUUAAUCGGAUUUACUGGGCGUAAAGCGUGCGUAGGCGGCUAAUUGAGUCGGAUGUGAAAUCCCCGAGCUUAACUUGGGAAUUGCAUUCGAUACUGGUUAGCUAGAGUGUGGGAGAGGAUGGUAUAAUUCCAGGUGUAGCGGUGAAAUGCGUAGAGAUCUGGAGGAAUACCGAUGGCGAAGGCAGCCAUCUGGCCUAACACUGACGCUGAGGUACGAAAGCAUGGGGAGCAAACAGGAUUAGAUACCCCCGUAGUCCCUGUCUCUUAUAC